CCGCUUUUCUGAGCGGAGCCCCCACCGGAGGCCUUGGCUGAGACUUCACCACUGUCCCGGGGCAGGUGAGGGACGUCGGCUGGCAGGACGGGACUGGAUUUUACGACAAGCUGCUGGAUGGUCAGGAAGCUCGUCACCUCGGCUUCUCCUAAAUUUGCCCGCCUCCCACUUGGAGAGUCUUAAAAUGACCUGCGUGUGUUUCCUCUCCCAGAUGCGGACUUGACGGUGACUGAAGCCAGUAGCUCUGACAGUCGCGGGGAGAGGGCUGAGCUCUUUGGCCACGUGGACGAGGGUCUCCUGGGAGGAGAAGCCAGCUACCUGGGCCCGCCCCUGACCCCGGAGAAGGAGGAGGCCCUGCACCAGGCCACCGCCGUGGCCAACCUGCGGGCGGCGCUCCUGAGUAAGAACAGCCUGCUGUCCCUCAAGGCCGACAUGCUCCGGGACGACAGCUCCCUGCUGCUGGACUACCUGCCCAAAGGCACCCACUCCCUGUCCCUCAACGAGUUCACGGUGAUCAGGAAGAAGUUCAAGUGCCCCUACUGCAGCUUCUCGGCCAUGCACCAGUGCAUCCUCAAGCGGCAUAUGCGCUCCCACACGGGGGAGCGGCCCUACCCCUGCGAGAUCUGCGGCAAGAAGUUCACGCGGCGGGAGCACAUGAAGCGGCACACGCUGGUGAGUGGGGCCGGGGCUGUGAGUGCGGCCAUGGCUCAGCACGGGGUCGGCGUGGGAUCAGCGUGGACCAUCACAGGGUCAGUGUGGGGUGGGCAUGGGGUCAGCGUGGGUCAGCACAGGGCUCGCAUGCCGCCCCUCUGA